rnacentral:rRNA from 1 species
UACGUAGGGGGCUAGCGUUGUCCGGAAUCAUUGGGCGUAAAGAGCGUGUAGGCGGUCCGGUAAGUCCGUUGUGAAAGUCAGGGGCUCAACCCUUGAAUGCCGGCGGAUACUGUCGGGCUAGAGUCCGGAAGAGGCGAGUGGAAUUCCCGGUGUAGCGGUGAAAUGCGCAGAUAUCGGGAGGAACACCUAUGGCGAAGGCAGCUCGCUGGCUCGCAACUGACGCUCAGACACGACAGCAUGGGGAGCAAACAGG